UAUCGAAAUACGAUAGUGAAUUAGGAAGGUGGAUUCAAAAGCAAAGCAAAGCAAAAGAGCGCGCUAUGGACUGUCGCUGGCAUUCAUUUGCAUGUGCACGUCCUGUUCUUCCCUUUCGCUUUCUUUCUGUCAACCUUUUUCUCUAAUCAAUUUACACCUGUGCACCCAUCGUAGUUCCUCGAAAGAGGUUCUAUGUCUUUUACCAUCACAUUCCUUCGUAUGUCCAUAGAAUGUUAUACAUGGCCAUCGAUCAAGCUUCGUCUCGGUCGGCUGGUCUAUAUAAACCAAUAUACAACUUUCAGCAACGGAUCUCUUGGCUCUCGCAUCGAUGAAGAACGCAGCGAAUUGCGAUAAGUAAUGUGAAUUGCAGAUUUCCAGUGAAUCAUCGAAUCUUUGAACGCACCUUGCGCUCCUUGGUAUUCCGAGGAGCAUGCCUGUUUGAGUGUCAUUGAAUUCUCAACCAUGUGUCUUGAUUGAUUCAUGGCUUGGAGGUUGGGGGUUGCUGGCGGCGAUCUGACUGUUGGCUCUCCUGAAAUGCAUUAGCAAAAGGGGUGUGGAAUGUCUUUAAUGGCGUGCACGGCCUUCGAUGUGAUAAUGAUCGUCGUGGCUGGAGCGCCUGGAAAAUCUCCCCUUCUCCCUCAUGCUUCUAAUCUGUAUUGCUAGCCAGUGUUCUGGCUAGCUUUCUUGUGAUCUUG
rnacentral:misc_RNA from 1 species